rnacentral:rRNA from 1 species
GACGAACGCUGGCGGCGUGCCUAAUACAUGCAAGUUGAGCGCUGAAGGUUGGUACUUGUACCAACUGGAUGAGCAGCGCACGGGUGAGUAACGCGUGGGGAAUCUGCCUUUGAGCGGGGGACAACAUUUGGAAACGAAUGCUAAUACCGCAUAAAAACUUUAAACACAAGUUUUAAGUUUGAAAGAUGCCAUUGCAUCACUCAAAGAUGAUCCCGCGUUGUAUUAGCUAGUUGGUGAGGUAAAGGCUCACCAAGGCGAUGAUACAUAGCCGACCUGAGAGGGUGAUCGGCCAGAUUGGGACUGAGACACGGCACAAACUCCUACGGGAGGCAGCAGUAGGGAAUCUUCGGCAAGGGACGAAAGACAGACCGAGAAACGCGGAGUGAGUGAAGAAGGUUGUCGGAUCGGAAAACUCUGUUGGUAGAGAAGAACGUUGGUGAGAGUGGAAAGCUCAUCAAGUGACGGUAACUACCCAGAAAGGGACGGCUAACUACGUG